rnacentral:rRNA from 1 species
AGUAAAACUAAGCAAAAAGAAUUUUUAGUUUAACCCCCCGAAACUAGGUGAGCUACUUCGAAACAGCCAAGAGCUAACUCAUCUCUGUUGCAAUAGAGUGGGACGAUUUCCAAGUAGAGGCGAUAAACCUAACGCACCAAGAGAUAGCUGGUUACUCAAGAAAAGAAUCUUAGUUCUACCUUAAAUUUUCAAAUUUAAGAGUUAUUCAAAUAGGGCACAGCCUAUUCGAAAAAGGGUACAACCUAUAAUAUCGGGUAAUAGUAAGUGGGCCUAAAAACAGCCACCUUUAAAAAGCGUUAAAGUUUAAUACCUUGUUCACUAUAAAACCCAUAAACAAUAUUGAGUAAUCCCAUAAUCUAUGGGAGAUUUUAUGCUAGAACUAGUAAUAAGAAACUUCUCCAAAAUGUAAGCCUAAGCCAGUUUAGACAUUCUACUGGCAAUUAACGAAAAUGAUCAACUUCAACAACUAAGAAAAACCUCAAGAUAUUACGUUAACCUUACACCAGAACAUUAAUGGAAAGAUUAAAAGAGAAAGAAGGAAC